UAUUUCUCGUUUUUCUACUUUUUCUACGUCCUUUUCUUCUUUUUCUUGAUUCUCUUCUUUUUCUCCUUUUUCUUGGGACGAUCGUU
rnacentral:ribozyme from 13 species